GGAUGUGAGGGUGAUCUGGCUAGGCAGGUGUCCCCAUACUCCCUCACCGCUCCAUAUGUGUCCCUCCCAAAGCCACAUGCUCAGUCAAAGAGGACAGCCUUCUCAGAAUAGAGGUGGACCGGUCUUUGGUCGAUGGUAUAUGAGUAGCUGUACUCCCCUGCUAGAACCUCCAAACAAGCUCUCAAGAUGUCUUUAAAAUUUUGAUGGAAAGGAGUUCUACCGAUAUUUUCCUGUAAGUAUUUGAGUUUCUGGUCUAACAUCCAAG
rnacentral:snRNA from 1 species